CAGGUAGGACUACCCGCUGACCUAGA
rnacentral:rRNA from 1 species